CUGCAAGCUUUGUAGGAAUGAUCUGAGUCUACGCUGGAGCAGGACCCUUAUGGACUUCUUGACUCCCGUAAUGCACAGUCCACUCAGUGAUCUUAUACUUUCAGGCAACCCACGGCACCAAUACAAUGCACAACCUAUACAUAAUAAUUAGACCGGCAACAAUCCUGAAAUAUAUAGGAAAUAUAUACAAAUGUGGAUAAAAUGC